UACACACGUAGAAAGAUUUGUAUCAGGACCUCUGGACGCGGGUUCGAAUCCCGCCGUCUCCAUUA
rnacentral:tmRNA from 1 species